GGGGAGGUUGCGCGUCUGAAGCAGGGGCCUGGAGGGACAGCCCACCCCACCGUGUGCCGCAGAUGGAGGGCAGGACCUGCUGGCAGCCUUCAGUCCCUGGAGCAGGGGGAGGUGACCAGUUACAGGGGCGACUGACAUCAGAUUGGCUCAUCGGUUACCAGGGAAACCGGUGGGGGCACGCCCCUCGCCGCCCCUUUGAUAAUCACGGUGGAGAGCCCGAUCUAAAGCUGGAGCAGUCAUCAGCUGGGGGCCUGGGGCAAGUCUGCAGGAUGAUGAGUCCUAUGAGCGGGUGGAGGUGAUGGGUGCUGGUGGAGCAGGGGACAUACAGAGAGUGGCAGAACAGACGCCUGGAGUGGCCGGACCAUACAUCACCUUAACUUUUACCAAGGAUUUGCAAAGGACAUGUUAUUUAUUAUAUAAAAGAAGGGCGUCAAACUGCAGGAAGAAUGACAAUGACUCUGAGGAUGCCAGCAAGCGGGAGUCAGCGGGUCCAGGCCUCCCUCCAUACAACGCGGCUGAGCACUGGCAGCCGCGGGCCCGGUGCUUUCAACACAGCCCACAGUCCGGGGCCAGAGUUAAGGAGGCCGUGGCCCCCGAACAUGCAGAGGAACCCGGGGCUCCAGACAGACGCUCGUCUCCAAGCCAGUCGCAGCAUUUCCACUGGAAAAGGACCCAAGACAAUUCAGAAUUACUGGGACCCAAGCCUUAAUGUGAGGAAAGACACAUAAAAAUAAAACCACUGAAGGAGGAGCCCCCGAACCCCCUCUCCAAGUCCCCAAAAAGCUUUUGCAAGCAGCUUCCCGAGUCUGGACGCCCCCACGGAACUCUGUUCCUUUUGCUUCACUAAAGUCAGAGGCAUGAAUUUGCAUUCCUACGGGUCAUGGUUUUGAAUGAUCCAAAAGGCUUCUCCCAAACUUGUCGCAACCUUUCUAAUAUUUCACAGAUAAGCAGGGUCUGUCUAGAGCCUGAACAAUAAGCACCCAGGAACCUCUUAAAGCCAACAGCAGUGAUCACGACCAGAAAAAAAAACCUAAAGCACAAUCAGUUUCCAUUACUCAGUUUCAUUAUCAGUUACCCUCUUCCAGGGUCAAUCUGGGAUAGCCUCGUGGAUGCAAAGUUUUAGAAUGCCCAGCGCAAUGAGAGACGAAGUUGGAAAGUAAGCUGUCAGAAUGCGCUGGAGUGGAUUUCUCUUCCUCCUUUCAUCAUGGACUCUUGGUAAACAAUGAUGACCUAGAUACUGGACUCUGAUUUAAGGAUUCUCCAAGCACUGGUCUAUCAACUGUCCUCCUUGAAGAUCUCUCUGUGAUCGGAUCCCCUAACGUGCCAGGCCAGCCUGUCCCCGCACGGUCACCGGGACAGUAGGAGGACCACGCCUAGAGAGCCCCAUCGCUGUUCCCAGGAAUAGCCCUGCGCAGACCUCACUCACAGAACGGGCGCUCGCACUGGGCAGCCACUUCUCAGGCCCGAUCAAGAGCUCUCUCUCCCGAGGAUGGAGAGCUGGAUGCUGAGUGAGGGCAAUUCAUUUUGCCCCUGACCGAUCACUGCAAACUCACUUCUCAGAUUAGCUUCCAGAUGAAACGUGGUGUCGCCAGACGUCACCCUGUCAAGUCGCCCCUCCUGGAGACAAACUUUCCUUUGUCACCGGGAAACGUAACUUCAACAAGCCUAAGUGGGGUCUAACAUCUGCACAAUAGUUUCAUUUUUAUACGUGAGGCACGCCUCCCGUGGGCUGCAUCCUACGCUCCUGCUGGAUUCAUUUCCUGGCUGUGUAUGGUUUUGCCAUUAUCUGCACUAUAGCUGAUGUUUUAUGAAGCCAACUGCUCCGUGUCCAUCGGCACCUCCACACUCACACGCUUCCUCAGCGGUUCCCUGGGCCACCAGGAACAGUCACGUGACGGGAAGCCAGCAGCCCCACCAAGAGCAGACUGAUCUCAAAUGCUGACCGUAAACCACACCGCCUGAGACAGACCUAAGAGAAGUCAAUUCUGGGCCAACCGAUGCAAAAACUCUCUAAUGCUUCAAAGCAAAAAAACUUUAAGAACAAAAUCCCAGUCUCUAGAGAAAGUUUCCAUCAAAAUUAGAAUGGAAAUAAAUGCAGUUUCUGCAAAAAAAAAAAAAAGCAAAUCACUUCUUCAUUAUUAACUGUCCACAGAUAUGAGGAGAAAUGAGUGUUUCCAGAAUAGGAAAUUGUGCAAAAUCAUGAAAGGACAAGAAAAAUAGUGCAGACAUGCCACACGAUCGGGGCGAGCGAUGCUCUGGCUGUGUUUGCCAUUAACGGGGACUCAGACUUGGAAACGAGCAGUGGAAACAGUAUAUAUGGAUCUGGCCACUGUGGUCGCCUCUGCGAUUUAUUACGAACUGCAUACUAUCCAUGUUUGGCUGUAAAUUGGCCCGGCUAGUAGAUUCCAAAACCAAGUGGAGUGAAAAAUGACCGAUACAACCACCAGCACAGAAGCCCAGAAGCACGAUUUCUGUCGUUUCAAACGUGGAAACAGAGCUGAAAGGGAAGAAGGCAGCUGUGUUCCCACAGGACGUGAGUUUUUUUUAACAGAAGUGCCCCGAUGGUCUGGCCCAGCACGAGUGAUUUCCUGGGUGCCCAAGGGGACGGGACCCAGUAGAGCCUGAGUUCGCCUUCUUUUUCCUAGACACCAGUUGAGGGAAUUAAGACACGUAUCAGCUAAAUCAUUUUUCAAAGUCUCCUUUAAAUGUGGCUUCUCGAUUACGAUGAAAACGUGGAAAUGUUGGGCAAGUGAGAAAGACGGGGCGCAUAAAUGUAACCAAGUGAGCUUUGUCCACGGGGAUGACGUCACCUGCUUGUCACCAUGCCUGGGAUGUUUGAUACGACAACGUGCAGUGAAACUUGGGAAAAGAUACAUAAACUUGAUUCCAUAAACAUAUUUCCAUGUGAUAUAAAACUUGAGCCCUUUCUAAAAAAACAAUUAUUCAGUAACAGACACAGCAGAGCACAGGGAACUGUAUUCAAUAUCUUGUAGUGACUUAUGGAGAAAAAGAAUAUGAAAAUGAGGAUGUGUUUUAUGCCAGGUAUAAAAUUCUGGUUUUUGAAGUAGGGAAAAAAAUGGGAAAUGAAGGGCUGCAAAUGAAAACAUUGUUCCUUCUUAUGGGUGAGUUUGUUCCAUUCCGUACAUAAAACUGUUCAUCUUCCUUAUCGAUUCAUCUACUGGCGUGCACUCAGGGUGCUUCCAGACCUUGGCAGUUAUAAACAACGUUGCUGUUAAGAGCAGCAUGUAUGUAUCUUUUUGAAUUAAUUCUUAUUUCGUGGCUGGCUUUAUUCCUUUGGUAACGAUGUAAGUUGAAAAAGCCGAAGUUCUGAACGUUCUCAGAAACAAUGAUCAGUACGUUACGUAAAUUUUAAAAAUACGGGCAGGAUAUUGUGUAUCUGUAUUUACAGGCCAUACAUUGCAUAUGUGCAGUCAAACUGUGACAAUUCUACCUAAUAAAACUGAAAAAGCAAAAAAAUAAAGAACGAAUCGAUGUGUGUUCCUGUGUGACUGAAGCAUCGUGCUGCGCACCAGAAAUUGACGCAAUGGUUGAAACUGACUAUACUUCAAUAAAAAUACAUUUUUAAAAUGAUAGAUACAGAGAAGGGAGGGCAGGCUCAUCCUCUUGGGGGCAGCCCUGGAUCUGCAGGUCUCCCCAAACGGUGGAAGGUGAGGCCAGCAGGGCCACACGGGGACGCUUCACCGCAGGGCUCCGAGUGGGCCACGCUGACCCUACUUUGCAGCGCUGGCCGCAGCCAGCAGGGUGACCCCUCCAGGACACCCGCUGCAUCUCACCCUCCAGGGCACCUCCCGUCCCCCCUCAAAUAAACCUGCAGAACUCGGCAUCCAAUGGAACUGUCAGACCAAACGCACAAGGAAGCAAGGGCCAGUUCACAAGGUUUUCACCCACAGUGUCGUGUUCCAGGCCGUCCUGCCGCAGGUCAGGGGUGUGUGCGUGCCCCCCGAGUCAGACCACACCCCGGCACCCGUGUGCGGCUGACGGGGGUGGAUGUGCUCCAAGGAGGUGGGCGGGGAGGGCAGGGGACCCUGGCCUCUCCCAGCCCUUCAUCACCUGUCUUUCCCAGACUGGUCCCCGUUUCUCAAGCCCCGUAUCUUUCUCUGUGUUGGCCAAUAUCAUCGCCAGAACCUUUAAGAUGGUGGUUUCAUCACUUUUUUUUUUUUCUGUAACAGCUCAUUACAAAAGAAAGACUCAACGUGUCGUGUUCUGUAAUCAUAGCCCUUUCCCAGACAUCGCUGGUCCUUUGAACUCAGAACGCCCCACCUCGUGAGGCUGAAGGCAUCUCCCUUUUGAACACGAGACUAUGGAAACAAUGCUCAUCCUUACAUUAGAAAUCGGGGUGAAAUAUUGGCCUUAGUCUCCACCAACCUAGUUCUCACCAGGACACAGUGUCUGGUGGUGUGGCCCAGGAGGUCAAAUGACAUCAAAGGAAGCGCUCUGCCCGGCACCCGCCGUCCACAAGGACGCCCUCAUCUUAGAACACAAAAUCCACAGUAAAGACUUCAGCUAAAAUUAAAAACUUCGGGCGUGAUGACACAGGAGUACAGUUUGUCCUUUAGCAGAUACCCAAGUAUAGGCUGGGUCUUUGAAAUCGAGAAGGCACUUUUUUCACUAGCUUCAGGGUUAAAAUGAGGCUCCUUCCACAGAACAGGAGUUACUAUGGCAGGUGAAGACGCAGUUUCACCUUUCACUGGCCUCCCUGCUCGGUCAGGGUGGUCGUCUUUAAAAGAACAUAUAAAAAAAUAAGACGUGUCAUUUUAAAAAUUCAGGGCUGACAACUAAACAAAUCUUUUAUAUAUGCGUACAAUAAAGUUUUCUGUUUCUCUAGUGCUGAAAAGAAAAACAGUUCAAACAGUGAUGCACUAUUUUCUUA
ensembl:lncRNA